UUUAGCAACUAGACCAACAAAUACUAAAAUUGGAAGGAUACAGAGGAGAUUAGCAUGGCCCUUGCACAAGGAUGACAUGCAGAUUUGUGAAGCAUUCCAUAUUUUU
ensembl:snRNA U6 U6 spliceosomal RNA